rnacentral:rRNA from 1 species
AGUGAACGCUGGCGGCAUGCCUAACACAUGCAAGUCGAACGGCAGUUCAUUAAGAGCUUGCUCUUACGGGUGGUGCUUGUCGGACUGGUGAGGAAUUCAUCGGAACCUACUUUUUCGUGGUGUAUAACGUAGGUAAACUCACGCUACUAGCGUAUACGACCUACGGGAUAAUGCAAGCGCUUUUUGUACCUUUCGAGAUUUUAUCAGUCGAUGUCGGAUUAGCUAGUUGGCGGGUUAAUGGCCAACUAACGCGACGAUCCGUCGCUGGUCAGAGAGGAUGGUCAGCCACACUGGAACUGAGACACGGUCGAGACUCCUAAGGGAGGCAGCAGUGGGGAAUAUUGGACAAUGGGCGCAAGCCUGAUACAGCCAUACCGCGUGAAUGAAGAAGGACUUCGGGUUGUAAAGCGCUUUUGUUAGGAAAGAAAAGCAGCAGGUUAAUACCGGGAUGUAAUGACGGUACCAAAAGAAUAAGCACCGGCUAACUUCGUG